GUGCCAGCAGCCGCGGUAAUACCGGCAGCCCGAGUGAUGGCUGAUAUUAUUGGGCCUAAAGCGUCCGUAGCUGGCCAGACAAGUCCGUUGGGAAAUCCACGCGCUCAACGCGUGGGCGUCCAGCGGAAACUAUCCGGCUUGGGGCCGGAAGACUCGAGGGGUACGUCCGGGGUAGGAGUGAAAUCCCGUAAUCCUGGACGGACCACCGGUGGCGAAAGCGCCUCGAGAAGACGGACCCGACGGUGAGGAACGAAAGCCAGGGUCUCCAACCGGAUUAGAAACCCGUGUAGUCC
rnacentral:rRNA from 1 species